rnacentral:rRNA from 1 species
UACGAAGGGGGCUAGCGUUGUUCGGAAUCACUGGGCGUAAAGGGUGUGUAGGUGGCGCCGUAAGUCGGGUGUGAAAUUUCGGAGCUUAACUCCGAAACUGCAUUCGAUACUGCGGUGCUUGAGGACUGGAGAGGAGACUGGAAUUCAUGGUGUAGCAGUGAAAUGCGUAGAGAUCAUGAGGAAGACCAGUGGCGAAGGCGGGUCUCUGGACAGUUCCUGACACUGAGACACGAAGGCCAGGGGAGCAAACGGGG